rnacentral:tRNA from 1 species
AAGGGUAUAGCUCAAGUGGUAGAGCACAUGCCUGAGGUCCUGGGUUCAAUCCCCAGUACCUCCA